rfam:Pelecanus crispus contig48231, whole genome shotgun sequence.
GCCGGGUUAGCUCAGUUGGUUAGAGCAUGGUGCUAAUAACGGCAAGUUCACAGGUUUAAUCCCUGCUCACUGCA